rnacentral:rRNA from 1 species
AAUCUUCCACAAUGGACGGAAGUCGUAUGGAGCAAUGCCGCGUGAACGAAGAAGGUUUUCGGAUCGUAAAGUUCUGUUGUGAGGGAAGAACAAGUACGAGAGUAACUGCUCGUACCUUGACGUUACCUCAUGAGAAAGCCACGGCUAACUACGUGACAGCAGCCGCGGUAAUACGUAGGUGGCAAGCGUUUUCCGGAAUUAUUGGGCGUAAAACGCGCGCAGGCGGCCUUUUAAGUCUGAUGUGAAAGCCCAAGGCUCAACCGUGGAAGGUCAUUGGAAACUGGAAGGCUUGAGUACAGAAGAGGAAAGCGGAAUUCCACGUGUAGCGGUGAAAUGAGUAGAGAUGUGGAGGAACACCAGUGGCGAAGGCGGCUUUCUGGUCUGUAACUGACGCUGAGGCGCGAAAGCGUGGGGAGCAAACA